rnacentral:lncRNA from 1 species
GAACAACUAAAUUUCAGUAUGAGAAGCCUGCCAAUGGGGCCAACGACUCUGAAAGGGAGGAAGAAAAAGACAAAUUUAACAAAAAGCAAGAAGGAGCCGACUAAAGAAGAUCUGCCCCAGCAGAGAACAGCCCCAGAAGAUCAGUUGGCGUAAAAGAAAGAAGAUGAAGAAAAAAGAAAGAACCUGUUGUUUGUUAUUUUUAGGUUUUUCAUUUUUUAGAAGCCCAUGGGAAUUUUAUUAACACCGAUGUCAUUCCAAACUGCAUCAUCCAAAAACUGAUAUCCAAUGAAAUGUGACUCUUUGCUUAUGUUUGACAGAUACAUCUGAUAGCAUUUGUUCAAGUUAAAAAUAAGUUUGUUUUAAAUGAAUGCAAUGGAGUGUAGGCAGAUUUUGCUUAGAUAAAUUAUCUUGACUCAGAUCUCUCUUUUUCCUCUUUGCUUUAGCCCACUGUACCUUCACUGAAAGGUAUCACUCUCCACCAUUUGGUGAGCCUGUUUUAAAUUAAUUUCUUACAGCCCCAAAUAUAAGAAAAUGUCAAGUUUAAAACAAUUGUUGUAAGGAGAGAGAUGUAGGUCAAGUCUUUAGAGCUACACUGUCCACGACAUUAGUAACUAGCCAUAUGUGGUGACCGAAAUAUGACUAGUCUAACUUGAUAUGUGCUGUUAAGUAUAAACAUGUUAAAUUAACUCACUGAUAAUUUCAUAUGGAUUACAUGUUGAAACGAUAAUAUAUUGAGUUAAAAUGUACUAUUAAAAUUAAUUUUCCCAUUUCC